AUUGAACGCUGGCGGCAUGCUUUACACAUGCAAGUCGAACGGCAGCGGGGGCUUCGGCCCGCCGGCGAGUGGCGAACGGGUGAGUAAUGCAUCGGAACGUGCCCAGUCGUGGGGGAUAACACAUCGAAAGAUGUGCUAAUACCGCAUACGUCCUGAGGGAGAAAGCGGGGGAUCUUCGGACCUCGCGCGAUUGGAGCGGCCGAUGUCGGAUUAGCUAGUUGGCGGGGUAACGGCCCACCAAGGCAACGAUGGAUAGGGGAACUGAGAGGUUUAUCCCCCACACUGGUACUGAGACACGGACCAGACUCCUACGGGAGGCAGCAGUGAGGAAUAUUGGUCAAUGGACGCAAGUCUGAACCAGCCACGUCGCGUGAAGGAAGACGGCCCUACGGGUUGUAAACUUCUUUUAUACGGGAAUAAAGUGCCCCACGCGUGGGGUUUUGGUCAUGUACCGUAUGAAUAAGGAUCGGCUAACUCCGUGCCAGCAGCCG
rnacentral:rRNA from 1 species